GGCUUUUUAGUAUAGUUUAGUAUAUUUGUUUUCCAAACAGGGGGUUUUAGAGUCA
rnacentral:tRNA from 2 species